rnacentral:rRNA from 1 species
GACGAACGCUGGCGGCGUGCUUAACACAUGCAAGUCGAACGGAAAGGCCCUGCUUUUGUGGGGUGCUCGAUUGGCGAACGGGUGAGUAACACGUGAGUAACCUGCCCUUGACUUUGGGAUAACUUCAGGAAACUGGGGCUAAUACCGGAUAGGAGCUCCUGCUGCAUGGUGGGGGUUGGAAAGUUUCGGCGGUUGGGGAUGGACUCGCGGCUUAUCAGCUUGUUGGUGGGGUAGGGGCUUACCAAGGCUUUGACGGGUAGCCGGCCUGAGAGGGUGACCGGCCACAUUGGGACUGAGAGACGGCCCAGACUCCUACGGGAGGCAGCAGGGGGGAAUAUUGCACAAUGGGCGGAAGCCUGAUGCAGCAACGCCGCGUGCGGGAUGACGGCCUUCGGGUGGUAAACCGCUUUCGCCUGUGACGAAGCGUGAGUGACGGUAAUGGGUAAAGAAGCACCGGCUAACUACGUG